GGGGAAUAUUGGACAAUGGGCGAAAGCCUGAUCCAGCAACGCCGCGUGUGUGAAGAAGGCCCUAGGGUUGUAAAGCACUUUCAGUGGGGAAGAAAAGCAGGGCGCUAUUAUCGCUCUGUGAUGACGUUACCCACAGAAGAAGCACCGGCUAACUCCGUG
rnacentral:rRNA from 1 species